GGCUAUAGCUCAGUUGGGAGAGCGCCUGAUUUGCAUUCAGGAGGUCGUCGGUUCGAUUCCGGCUAGCUCCAC
rnacentral:tRNA from 1 species